rnacentral:rRNA from 1 species
CCUACGGGUGGCAGCAGUGGGGAAUAUUGCACAAUGGGCGCAAGCCUGAUGCAGCCAUGCCGCGUGUGUGAAGAAGGCCUUCGGGUUGUAAAGCACUUUCAGCGGGGAGGAAGGCGUUAAGGUUAAUAACCUUGGCGAUUGACGUUACCCGCAGAAGAAGCACCGGCUAACUCCGUGCCAGCAGCCGCGGUAAUACGGAGGGUGCAAGCGUUAAUCGGAAUUACUGGGCGUAAAGCACACGCAGGCGGUCUGUCAAGUCGGAUGUGAAAUCCCCGGGCUCAACCUGGGAACUGCAUUCGAAACUGGCAGGCUAGAGUCUUGUAGAGGGGGGUAGAAUUCCAGGUGUAGCGGUGAAAUGCGUAGAGAUCUGGAGGAAUACUGGUGGCGAAGGCGGCCCCCUGGACAAAGACUGACGCUCAGGUGCGAAAGCGUGGGGAGCAAACAGGAUUAGAUACCCGAGUAGUC